rnacentral:rRNA from 1 species
GUCCAGACUCCUACGGGAGGCAGCAGUGAGGAAUAUUGGUCAAUGGGCUUACGCCUGAACCAGCCAAGUCGCGUGAGGGAAGACUGCCCUAUGGGUUGUGAACCUCUUUUGUCAGGGAGCAACGCCGGCUACGUGUAGCCGGACUGAGAGUACCUGAAGAAAAAGCAUCGGCUAACUCCGUGCCAGCAGCCGCGGUAAUACGGAGGAUGCGAGCGUUAUCCGGAUUUAUUGGGUUUAAAGGGUGCGUAGGCGGAAUGCCAAGUCAGCGGUAAAAUCGCGGGGCUCAACCUCGCUCCGCCGUUGAAACUGGUGUUCUUGAGUGGGCGAGAAGAAGGCGGAAUGCGUGGUGUAGCGGUGAAAUGCAUAGAUAUCACGCAGAACCCCGAUUGCGAAGGCAGCAUGCCGGCUUCCGACUGACGCUGAAGCACGAAAGCGUGGGGAUCGAACAGGAUUAGAUACCCUGGUA